rnacentral:rRNA from 1 species
GACGAACGCUGGCGGCAUGCCUAAUACAUGCAAGUCGAGCGAACAGAUGAAGUGCUUGCACUUCUGACGUUAGCGGCGAACGGGUGAGUAACACGUAAGGAAUCUACCUAUAAGCGGGGGAUAACAUUCGGAAACGGGUGCUAAUACCGCAUAAUAUCUUCUUCCGCAAGGAAGAAGAUUGAAAGACGGCUCUGCUGUCACUUAUAGAUGACCUUGCGGUGCAUUAGUUAGUUGGUGGGGUAAUGGCCUACCAAGACAAUGAUGCAUAGCCGACCUGAGAGGGUGAUCGGCCACAUUGGGACUGAGACAUGGCCCAAACUCCUACGGGAGGCAGCAGUAGGGAAUCUUCCGCAAUGGGCGAAAGCCUGACGGAGCAAUGCCGCGUGAGUGAAGAAGGCCUUCGGGUCGUAAAACUCUGUUAUAAGAGAAGAACAAAUUGUAGAGUAACUGCUACAGUCUUGACGGUAUCUUAUCAGAAAGCCACGGCUAACUACGUGCCAGCCGCCGCGGUAA